rnacentral:rRNA from 1 species
UACGAAGGGAGCUAGCGUUGUUCGGAUUUACUGGGCGUAAAGCGCGCGUAGGCGGCUUUGUAAGUUAGAGGUGAAAGCCCGGGGCUCAACCCCGGAAUUGCCUUUAAGACUGCAUCGCUUGAAUCCAGGAGAGGUGAGUGGAAUUCCGAGUGUAGAGGUGAAAUUCGUAGAUAUUCGGAAGAACACCAGUGGCGAAGGCGGCUCACUGGACUGGUAUUGACGCUGAGGUGCGAAAGCGUGGGGAGCAAACAGG